AAUAAAAUUAUUUAUGGUUUAAAAAUUUAUUAUAAAUUUAUUUUACAUAUAAAUUUUAGUGUUAAUUUUUAAUUUAUUUAAAUAAUAAUUAAUAUUUAUUUGUAGUAAUUAGAAUUAAAAAUUUAAGUAAUUAAGAUUUAGUAAUAUUUAAAUUAAUAACAAAUUUUGUGCCAGCAGUUGCGGUUAUACAAAAAUUAAAUUAAAUUUUUUUAGGAAUUAAUUAAUAAUAGAUUAUAUAAUAAAAUUAAAAUUUAAAUUAUUAAGUGAAAUUUUAAUUUAUGAAAAUUUUAUAUUGAAUUAUGAAUUAAAAAAUUUUAUUAAAAACUAGGAUUAGAUACCCUAUUAUUAAAAAUUUAAAUUAAUAAUACUAAAAUAGUAUAUAAUUAUUUAUAAAAACUUAAAUAAUUUGGCGGUAUUUUAGUUUAUUUAGAGGAAUCUGUUUAUUAAUUGAUAUUCCACGAAUAAAUUUACUUAAUUUAUUUAAUUUUGUAUAUCGUUGUUAAAAAAAUAUUUUAAAAUAAUAAUAAUAUUUUAAUUUUUAUAUUAAAAGUUAAAUCAGAUCAAGAUGCAGAUUAUAAUUAAGAAUAUAAUGGAUUACAAUAAAUUUAUUUAAUUGGAUGUUAUUUUUAAAAAUUAAUUGAAAUUGGAUUUAAAUGUAAUUUUAUUUAAUUUAUUAAAAUGAUUUUAAUUUAAAAUAUGUACAUAUUGCCCGUCGCUUUCAUUAAUAAAUUGAAAUAAGUCGUAACAAAGUAGAGGUACUGGAAAGUGUUUCUAGAAAGAG
rnacentral:ncRNA from 1 species